rnacentral:rRNA from 1 species
CCUACGGGGGGCAGCAGUGGGGAAUAUUGCACAAUGGGGGAAACCCUGAUGCAGCGACGCCGCGUGAGUGAUGAAGUAUUUCGGUACGUAAAGCUCUAUCAGCAGGGAAGAAGAUGACGGUACCUGACUAAGAAGCCCCGGCUAACUACGUGCCAGCAGCCGCGGUAAUACGUAGGGGGCAAGCGUUAUCCGGAUUUACUGGGUGUAAAGGGAGCGUAGACGGCGGGGCAAGUCUGAGGUGAAAUCCCGGGGCUCAACCCCGGGACUGCUUUGGAAACUGUGCGGCUGGAGUGCAGGAGAGGUAGGCGGAAUUCCUAGUGUAGCGGUGAAAUGCGUAGAUAUUAGGAGGAACACCAGUGGCGAAGGCGGCUUACUGGACGAUGACUGACGUUGAGGCUCGAAAGCGUGGGGAGCAAACAGGAUUAGAUACCCGUGUAGUC